UCCGCUUUUUCUGAUUUAUAA
rnacentral:piRNA from 1 species